GGUUGACCUCGGAUCAGGUAGGGAUACCCGCUGAACUUAAGCAUAUCAAUAAGCGGAGGAAAAGAAACCAACAGGGAUUGCCUUAGUAACGGCGAGUGAAGCGGCAACAGCUCAAAUUUGAAAGCUGGCCCUUUUAGGGUCCGCGUUGUAAUUUGUAGAGGAUGAUUCGGCGAGGGCUCCCGCCUAAGUCCCCUGGAACGGGGCGUCAUAGAGGGUGAGAAUCCCGUAUGCGGUGGGCUGCCUUAGCCAUGUGAAUCUCCUUCGACGAGUCGAGUUGUUUGGGAAUGCAGCUCUAAAUGGGAGGUAAAUUUCUUCUAAAGCUAAAUACCGGCCAGAGACCGAUAGCGCACAAGUAGAGUGAUCGAAAGAUGAAAAGCACUUUGGAAAGAGAGUUAAAAAGUACGUGAAAUUGUUGAAAGGGAAGCGCUUGCAACCAGACUUGUCCGCAGUUGCUCAGCCGGUCUCCUGACCGGCGUACUCUUCUGCGGCCAGGCCAGCAUCAGUUCGGGCGGUCGGAUAAAGACCUCGGGAAUGUAGCUCCUCUCGGGGAGUGUUAUAGCCCGGGGUGGAAUGCGGCCAGCCUGGACUGAGGAUCUCGCUUCGGCAAGGAUGCUGGCGUAAUGGUUGUAAGCGGCCCGUCUUGAAACACGGACCAAGGAGUCUAACAUCUAUGCGAGUGUUUGGGUGUCAAACCCAUACGCGUAAUGAAAGUGAACGGAGGUGGGAACCCGCAAGGGCGCACCAUCGGCCGAUCCUGAUGUCUUCGGAUGGAUUUGAGCAAGAGCAUAGCUGUUGGGACCCGAAAGAUGGUGAACUAUGCCUGAAUAGGGUGAAGCCAGAGGAAACUCUGGUGGAGGCUCGCAGCGGUUCUGACGUGCAAAUCGAUCGUCAAAUUUGGGUAUAGGGGCGAAAGACUAAUCGAACCAUCUAGUAGCUGGUUCCUGCCGAAGUUUCCCUCAGGA
rnacentral:rRNA from 1 species